rnacentral:rRNA from 1 species
AUUGAACGCUGGCGGCAUGCUUUACACAUGCAAGUCGAACGGCAGCGCGGGGCAACCUGGCGGCGAGUGGCGAACGGGUGAGUAAUAUAUCGGAACGUACCCAGAAGUGGGGGAUAACGUAGCGAAAGUUACGCUAAUACCGCAUACGAUCUACGGAUGAAAGUGGGGGACCUUCGGGCCUCAUGCUUGUGGAGCGGCCGAUAUCUGAUUAGCUAGUUGGUAGGGUAAAGGCCUACCAAGGCGACGAUCAGUAGCUGGUCUGAGAGGACGACCAGCCACACUGGGACUGAGACACGGCCCAGACUCCUACGGGAGGCAGCAGUGGGGAAUUUUGGACAAUGGGCGCAAGCCUAAUCCAGCAAUGCCGCGUGAGUGAAGAAGGCCUUCGGGUUGUAAAGCUCUUUUGUCAGGGAAGAAACGGCGAUUUCUAAUAAAGAUUGCUAAUGACGGUACCUGAAGAAUAAGCACCGGCUAACUACGUGCCAGCCGCCGCAGUAA